CCAAUUAAAUAAAUUUUAUAACUUUAUAUGAAAUUAAACUGGUGAUAUUAAUGAUCUGAUUCAAUUGAAAAGUCAAAUCUUGAUAUUACUUGUGCUAGAAAUCUGACAUAACUCUGCGCAUUAUCUAUCAACCUCGAUCCUAGUUCCAAAUCCAUAACCAAUUUGUUGUUGUGCUAAAAAAAAAAAAAUUGUUGAAAAUUGGGGAUUUUUUUUUUCUCAUAAGAUUUAAUGGCAGGGUCUGGAAAUUCUGGAAUUAAUCCUGAAUUAGUCAUUUCCCACAAAUUCCCUGAGAGCUUACAUACUUACACUGAAAGGGAUGCUGCUAUUUAUGCUCUUGGUGUAGGAGCAUGUACAAAGGAUGCUAUUGAUGAUAAAGAACUUAAAUAUGUUUAUCAUCAAGAUGGGCAAGAAUUUAUUCAGGUUUUGCCAACUUUUUCGACUUUGUUCACUGUUGGAAUUCCUUCUCAAAUGGAGCGGCUUCCAGGCUUGCAAUUUGAUCCACGUCUUCUACUGCACGGCCAACAAUACAUUGAAGUCUAUAAGCCACUUCCUUCCCAUGGCUGCAUACUAAAUAAAAGGAGUAUUGUCGGAUUGCAUGAUAAAGGUAAAGCAGCUGUUCUUGAAGUAGAAAUUGUGAGUUACGAGAAAGAAUCUGGUGAACGGCUAUGCAUGAACCGCUUGUCUAUUUACUUGAGGGGUGCUGGUGGGUUCUCAAAGUCAUCUCAGCCUUACUCGUACUCAACCAACCGUAAUAAUCAGUCUGCCUUUCCUAAAAUUCCCAAAAGCCAACCCUUUGCUGUAUAUGAAGAAUGUACACAUGCAUCACAGGCUUUGCUAUAUCGGCUAUCUGGUGAUUACAAUCCAUUGCAUUCAGAUCCAAAGUUCGCAGAAGGUUUUCUCGUCCAAUACUGCAUGGGUUGUGCACACUUGGAUUUGCAGUUAGGACUAUUAUUAAGUGUAUUUGUGGAGGUGAUCAGAACACGAUAAAGAGCGUAUCUGGCAGAUUUCUACUACAUGUCUAUCCAGGAGAAACUUUAAUCACAGAAAUGUGGUUGGAAGGGUUGAGAGUUAUCUAUCAAGUGAAGGUUAAGGAACGUAACCGUGCAGUUCUUUUUGGAUUCGUGGAUCUUAAUCAUUUAAGUUCAUCUCUGUGAGUGUUUGUGGCGCGCUCAUAAACGAAAUAAUGCUUUGUAUAAUACUCUUUUAAUUCAUACUUUAAGGUAAUUUAUAGACUCUGGAUCAUAUUAAGUUUCAUUUCUGAGUUCUCAUGGUACAUUACUAUGGAGAGAGAACUUCAUUAUGCAGUAAUCUAAACUACCAUUGUUUAAAUUUUACAAUACCUAUAUGACAGUGUAAUAUCUUUAGCCUUCAAUAUCAUGUGCAGAGUGUGA